rnacentral:rRNA from 1 species
GACGAACGCUGGCGGCGUGCUUAACACAUGCAAGUCGAGCGAGGCCCCUCCUUCGGGAGGGUGUCCUAGCGGCGAACGGGUGAGUAACACGUGGGCAACCUGCCCUCAGCUCUGGGAUAACUCCGGGAAACCGGGGCUAAUUCCGGAUACGACCUCCACGGGCAUCUGCGGAGGUGGAAAGUUUUUCGGCUGAGGAUGGGCCCGCGGCCUAUCAGCUAGUUGGUGGGGUAGUGGCCCACCAAGGCGACGACGGGUAGCCGGCCUGAGAGGGCGACCGGCCACACUGGGACUGAGACACGGCCCAGACUCCUACGGGAGGCAGCAGUGGGGAAUAUUGCGCAAUGGGCGAAAGCCUGACGCAGCGACGCCGCGUGAGGGACGAAGGCCUUCGGGUUGUAAACCUCUUUCAGCAGGGACGAAGCGAAAGUGACGGUACCUGCAGAAGAAGCACCGGCCAACUACGUG